CCCGGUCAUAUCAUCAUGCCCCUGGAUUUUUAAGGUAGCUGUUGGCUGUAAAUAUCUGUGCUUACUAAAACUCAUGGUGACAGCAAUAGCAUAUUACUCCCUGAUCAAAGAAAGAUAUCCAGAGUUACAAGUUCUGGCUUCAGUGUCCACGUCUCAGCUGACUUGGGAUAUGAACUUGGACGAGCAUACAUCAUUCAGUAAGCUUCCCACUGGCUGCUGCCUCCAGUGUGCUCCUUCAAAGAGGCCUGAAGAUCUGGUGGAACAGAGCAUUUGCAGAAGUUAGUGCACACAGCAUUAAAUUCUGCAGUUUAACUUUAUGUACUUCAUCUUUGUGAUUGAAGAAGGACAAAAGGAGGCAACACCCAGAAGGCCUGAUAGAUCUGCAUGCAUGGGGAAUCUAUUCUGCUGGAAACUGGAGAAAUACCUUUGAGGUUACUGGAUCCCA